rnacentral:lncRNA from 1 species
AUCAAUAUCCACCAACUCUGCUAGGAUUACCUUGAGAUAAAUGUUUAUAUUCAUCUGUAUACAGUCUAUAAAAUUUCCCCAGCUUCAUUAUUCCCAAGAGAAUUAUCUACCUCGUUUGGUAAUUUAUCAAGUGUCACAUGGAUUUCUCAGGUAAAACUUAGGAAGGUCCAGAUCAGCAUCUCUGUGAAGGGCCUGGGAUGACUUCCUUGACAGCAGCCCAGCGGAAGGCUUGAUGUUGAAGGCCUGAGCUCUGGUGGACAGCUGGGCUGAGUGUGAAAGCGUUUCAAGAAGCUGGAGAACAGAGCCUAGAAUGGAGAGGAUCUCAAAUCCUAAACCCACAUACAGGGCUCAGUUCCUAGCCCAGCGUGCUCUGAACUUAUAGGUUUAAACUCCGCCACAAUGUCUUUCUCAGUCACUCUGCAACUCCAACUUUUCUUUGUGCUGCUUCUUGAAGGAGGGGAUUUCCAAGCCCUGGGACCCACGGUGGGUGAGGGUCAUGGCUUUUGGGGUUUGUGUGUCUCAUGGUCAGCUGACCUCCCAAAGAUGUUUCCCUGACAGCCUGCCUGUUUUUCCAGAGAAGUCACGGCAGCAGGGGAGGAGGGGAAGUUGCCUUGACUCUUCUCACACCGACUGUACCUUCCUUCUAGGACUCAGCUCAGCCUUCUGUCACCGUGAGCAAUAAACCUCUGUCCUCAUGUUUGUG